rnacentral:tRNA from 1 species
GGAUCUUUCUUCUAGCGGUUAGGAUACUCGACUCAUAACCCUGCGACCCAGGUUCGAAUCCUGGAAGAUCCACCA